rnacentral:tRNA from 3 species
GCUCCUGUAGCCCAAUUGGAAGAGGCGGCUGUCUCAAAAACAGUCUAUUUUGUACGGGUUCAACUCCCGUCAGGAGUACCA